GACGAACGCUGGCGGCGUGCUUAACACAUGCAAGUCGAACGGAAAGGCCCUGCUUUUGUGGGGUGCUCGAGUGGCGAACGGGUGAGUAACACGUGAGUAACCUGCCCUUGACUUUGGGAUAACUUCAGGAAACUGGGGCUAAUACCGGAUAGGAGCCCCUGCUGCAUGGUGGGGGUUGGAAAGUUUCGGCGGUUGGGGAUGGACUCGCGGCUUAUCAGCUUGUUGGUGGGGUAGUGGCUUACCAAGGCUUUGACGGGUAGCCGGCCUGAGAGGGUGACCGGCCACAUUGGGACUGAGAUACGGCCCAGACUCCUACGGGAGGCAGCAGUGGGGAAUAUUGCACAAUGGGCGGAAGCCUGAGGCAGCAACGCCGCGUGCGGGACGACGGCCUUCGGGUUGUAAACCGCUUUCGCCUGUGACGAAGCGUGAGUGACGGUAAUGGGUAAAGAAGCACCGGCUAACUACGUG
rnacentral:rRNA from 1 species